GAGCGAACGCUGGCGGCAGGCCUAACACAUGCAAGUCGAACGGAUCCUUCGGGAUUAGUGGCGGACGGGUGAGUAACACGUGGGAACGUGCCCUUUGGUUCGGAACAACUCAGGGAAACUUGAGCUAAUACCGGAUGUGCCCUUCGGGGGAAAGAUUUAUCGCCAUUGGAGCGGCCCGCGUCUGAUUAGCUAGUUGGUGAGGUAACGGCCCACCAAGGCGACGAUUAGUAGCUGGUCUGAGAGGAUGAUCAGCCACACUGGGACUGAGACACGGCCCAGACUCCUACGGGAGGCAGCAGUGGGGAAUCUUGCGCAAUGGGCGAAAGCCUGACGCAGCCAUGCCGCGUGAAUGAUGAAGGUCUUAGGAUUGUAAAAUUCUUUCAGCGGGGACGAUAAUGACGGUACCCGCAGAAGAAGCUCCGGCUAACUUCGUG
rnacentral:rRNA from 1 species